rnacentral:rRNA from 2 species
AACGCGAAGAACCUUACCUGGGCUUGACAUGCUGGUGAAAGCCGGUGGAAACACCGGCCCCUCUUCGGAGCGCCAGCACAGGUGCUGCAUGGCUGUCGUCAGCUCGUGUCGUGAGAUGUUGGGUUAAGUCCCGCAACGAGCGCAACCCUCGCUCCCAGUUGCCAGCGGUUCGGCCGGGGACUCUGGGGGGACUGCCGGCGUUAAGCCGGAGGAAGGUGGGGACGACGUCAAGUCAUCACGGCCCUUACGCCCAGGGCGACACACGUGCUACAAUGCCCGGUACAGCGCGUCGCGAACUCGCGAGAGGGAGCCAAUCGCUAAAAGCCGGGCUAAGUUCGGAUUGCAGUCUGCAACUCGACUGCAUGAAGCCGGAAUCGCUAGUAAUCGCGGAUCAGCCACGCCGCGGUGAAUCCGUUCCCGGGCCUUGUA